UACGUAGGGUGCAAGCGUUAAUCGGAAUACUGGGCGUAAAGCGUGCGCAGGCGGUUUUGUAAGUCAGAUGUGAAAUCCCCGGGCUUAACCUGGGAACUGCGUUUGAAACUACAAGGCUAGAGUGUGACAGAGGGGGGUGGAAUUCCACGUGUAGCAGUGAAAUGCGUAGAGAUGUGGAGGAACACCGAUGGCGAAGGCAGCCCCCUGGGUUAACACUGACGCUCAGGCACGAAAGCGUGGGGAGCAAACAGG
rnacentral:rRNA from 1 species